UCAUGAAGGAAGCAUGGUAAUGUGCACGGAAAUCGAGGCAAAUGGGUUGUCACGUCUGCUCCCAAUGAUGCAUUUUUUUGGCUUUGAUUUGGGGGCCUGGUUAAGACCCACAUUU
rfam:Morus notabilis contig960, whole genome shotgun sequence.